rnacentral:rRNA from 1 species
ACUCCUACGGGAGGCAGCAGUGGGGAAUAUUGCACAAUGGGGAACCGUAGCUGNAGCCAUGCCGCGUGUGUGAAGAAGGCCUUCGGGUUGUAAAGUACUUUCAGCAGUGAGGAAGGUGGAGUCGUUAAUAGCGGCCUCAUUUGACGUUAGCUGCAGAAGAAGCACCGGCUAACUCCGUGCCAGCAGCCGCGGUAAUACGGAGGGUGCGAGCGUUAAUCGGAAUUACUGGGCGUAAAGCGCAUGCAGGUGGUUUGUUAAGUCAGAUGUGAAAGCCC